UUUCUAUGAUGAAGAUACUUAGCUCACUUUGAACCAAUGUGAAAAGUAAACGAACUACUGAGAAAC
ensembl:snoRNA SNORD29 Small nucleolar RNA SNORD29